rnacentral:lncRNA from 1 species
GCACACACAGGGGAAGAAAUGCCUUCAGCGGCACCAGCUUUCAAAUCCUAACCACAGACUAAACAUUCUGGGCCGUCCACAGUUUGGAAAAGGACUUCUCGCCUUGGUGGUGCUUUAUUGUGCUGGUCAGAGAGAGAUCUGAUGAGCGAACAACUGCUGGAAGAUUUCGAAGCCACCUCCACUCCCUGGCAGGCAGGGCUGGCUCCCUCACCUUUGUUUGGAAGCUGGGGAGGGGAAUGGGAGCCUCAGGAGGAGGGCGGGGUCCCACCACAUCAGAUGUGGGAGACCCAGCUGGGAGCAACCCUCAUGCAAAGACUCUGGUGGACUAGGAGUUGUGAAUGCUCCGACAAGGACUUACGAAUCUAUAGGAGAAAAACGUCCUUUGUGAAGUCUGCUAGCCUUUCUGGGGGCUGCUGGGCCUCUGUGCAGAGCUCACGUCCAGAAGAGGCACGCACUGCCCAGUCUGGUCCAUCCACACCCCAUGGCAAGCCCAUCAGCAUGAUUCCCAGAGGGCUGACCUGGGCUAAGGAUGCCCUCAGUCCCCAAGAGGAAAGGACAGGGCAGCCCUGUGGCCUGACUUGGCACCUCUCUUUCUUCUGUAAAAUGGAGACGGUCACCCCUUUCCUUCAGGCCUUUGUGCAAAAGAGGUGGAAGAGAAGGAAGCGGGGAGAAAUGUGGCUGCUUUGUCACCUCGGGUCUCAGGAAGGGGGAGAAUAAGAGGACAGUUUGGGCCGGCUCCCUUCCCAGAGCUCUGCCGCCUUGCCUGGCUCCUGCUUGGGGUUGGAUGGAGUGGACACGGGAGGGCCGGGGCCGAGGAAGGCCUGAGAACAGAGGACCACCUCCAGCUCCCGCCUUCGUGUCCUUUCACCCAACUUUCCUUCAGGUGUGUUACAAGUGAGAGAUCGGGGCUGCAUAUUAAUAAAACAAUGGAAUUUUUAUUUCUUUUUCUCAUAAAUUACAUAAUUCAAACCUUAAAACACCUUUAAUGAACAGUGACUGGGCAUGUGACACUUAAUAAAACUGGGCUCAGGUCAGUUUCUGCUUGACAGGCUACCAGCCGAGAAUGUGCCUUACAAGUCAAUGAUUAAGAGGCGGGCAUCUUUCCUGGGCUCUACUAUUAAACACUUCAAAGGUUUCCAGAGUCAGAUAAAAUGAAAAGCAAAUGUGUUUCACUGCCUCUCAAAUGCCUCAAAUGUUUUAGCAGGUGCAAGCAAUGAAACCUUCCAUGGUGACAGCGUUUUAGGGUCUGCAAAGUGCACCCGACUGAAUUCUGGGAAUUCUGGACUGGCUUCAUAAAAAUUCAUGAUUUCCAAUGAGGAGAGAUGUUCAUCUUUGGGGCCCAUCUACAUAUGUGGCACAGAAGGAAAAUAGCAUGGGGUCCUCUGGGCCAUGGGUCAGCUUAACCCUUUCUGUUCUGAAAGAGACUCUGCAUGGCGCACUAGAGAACCCCCAGCUGGGGUGGUCAGCCUUGUGCUGGCAAAACAGGGGGGCAAAUCUCUGGGUUGGCCCAGACUUUCCAAAGGCACCGUAAUGGUC